rnacentral:lncRNA from 1 species
AACACCCUGAGUGAGGCAAGGCCAUGUUAGACCCUACCAAAGAUCACUCCUCACACCUGGGGCACACAAGGAAAGGAGCGAGGGACUGACAGGAACAUCCGUCAGCUUCUGCAAGGUCUCAAAAAGAUCAUCACCCACAGAGGCAGAUGUCUCAAGGAAAGACUGUCCUUUGAAUCGGGUCAUGGAAGGUUGCUAGCAGGCUGUGGUCUGUGAACUCACAGAAACUAUAAACCAUCCGUGAAGAAGGAAUGGGUCCAUCUGAAGAGUGCCAAAGGGAAAAGUAAGACAAAGACAUGGAGCAGCCUCAAGGGGAUGAAAUGGAUGAAGGGGAGGAAGAAGAGAAGAAAGCCAGAUCUCAGCCCCAAAGUAAGGCUUCUUGGCAUGGAAGUAUAGAGUUUCUAAAUAGAUGACACAAAUUCAUCUAAAUGAACAGAAUAUGGCUAUACAAAUGUUUAAUGUAUCUGUGAAAAUUACACUUGUUGAAAACUAAUUAUUCACAUUCAAAACCAGUAUUUCAAGGCUUGUGGCUAAACUAAUAUCUGUAAAAGGCAUGGCUUAUGUGUUAUAUUCUGUUUGUGCUUUUCCGUUUCACUUUUAUCUGUUCUGCAGACGAAGGCAAUGGUGCAAAAAGGAGUUUACCAGAAAUGAGUAUUGAGUAACAGUCUGAUCUUAAAAUACUUUUGCAACUUGUUAUGCAAAAAUCACAGUUGCAGAAAAAUUGGUUUCCAUAAAGAGCUAUUAAGUGGAUCAACUAGAUUAUCUCUAGAUCAGAUUUUUUAAAAACCCAUUCUCCUUCACAGAAAACUUUUGUUCUAUUUGUAUACGUUAGAGCAACCAGUACAUAUCAAACUUCAGGCCUCUUACAAGUAAGCAAAUAUAUCAAAGAAAAGUUUUUACUUAAUUGAAAUUUGGGUUAAAGUAAAGAUGCAAUAGUGUCAAUUCAGGAAUUAUAGGCAGGACCACAAUUUAACAAAUACCAAAAUAAUACGAUUUUUCGCCACAUGUUUUCUACCCCUAUUGGCGUAUCAAGCUUGGAAAAAGAAAUGAUCUUAGUAAACAACAAGAAAUUUGCUUUUCUGUGAGAGUUAUCUGUUGCAUUCUUUUCUUUUUUUAGUAUUUUUUCUAAGCUUACCUUAAGUUCAUAUUGCCCUUUUGUGCAGAUAACAAGAUGAAAAAAAUCAUUUACUUUGGAAAGUCA